rnacentral:rRNA from 1 species
GACGAACGCUGGCGGCGUGCCUAACACAUGCAAGUCGAGCGGAGUGAUGAGGAAGCUUGCUUCUUCUGAUUUUAGCGGCGGACGGGUGAGUAACACGUGGGCAACCUACCUUGUAGAUUGGGAUAACUCCGGGAAACCCGGGGCUAAUACCGAAUAAUCCAUUUUGCUUCAUGGCGAGAUGUUAAAAGGCGGCUUCGGCUGUCACUACGAGAUGGGCCCGCGGCGCAUUAGCUAGUUGGUAGGGUAAUGGCCUACCAAGGCGACGAUGCGUAGCCGACCUGAGAGGGUGAUCGGCCACACUGGGACUGAGACACGGCCCAGACUCCUACGGGAGGCAGCAGUAGGGAAUCUUCCACAAUGGACGAAAGUCUGAUGGAGCAACGCCGCGUGAGUGAAGAAGGUUUUCGGAUCGUAAAACUCUGUUGUAAGGGAAGAACACGUACGAGAGUAACUGCUCGUACCUUGACGGUACCUUAUUAGAAAGCCACGGCUAACUACGUG